AUUGAACGCUGGCGGCAGGCCUAACACAUGCAAGUCGAGCGGAUGAAGAGAGCUUGCUCUCUGAUUCAGCGGCGGACGGGUGAGUAAUGCCUAGGAAUCUGCCUGAUAGUGGGGGACAACGUUUCGAAAGGAACGCUAAUACCGCAUACGUCCUACGGGAGAAAGUGGGGGCUCUUCGGACCUCACGCUAUCGGAUGAGCCUAGGUCGGAUUAGCUAGUUGGUGGGGUAAGGGCCCACCAAGGCGACGAUCCGUAACUGGUCUGAGAGGAUGAUCAGUCACACUGGAACUGAGACACGGUCCAGACUCCUACGGGAGGCAGCAGUGGGGAAUAUUGGACAAUGGGCGAAAGCCUGAUCCAGCCAUGCCGCGUGUGUGAAGAAGGUCUUCGGAUUGUAAAGCACUUUAAGUCGGGAGGAAGGGCUGCCGGUUAAUACCCUGCAGCCUUGACGUUACCGACAGAAUAAGCACCGGCUAACUUCGUGC
rnacentral:rRNA from 1 species